rnacentral:snRNA from 1 species
ACAAAACUUUACUGGAAAAUAA